UUAUUUGAAUUUUAUUGAUGACUAAGCUUGUUUACACCAACCAAUAGAAAUCCCCCACGUUUUUGAUUAACAUAAAUAUAAAGCGUGUCUGGACAGUAACAUCCGAACUAUAUAUCUUAAACCAUUUUCUUGAAAGCUGCUCAUAAAAAUGAAGACUGUAGUUCUAGUUCUUCUGGUAUGUCUUGCGAGUCUCGUAGCUGUUUCAGAAGGUUGUUGUAAAACGACGAAUUCUGCUUGCGGUGGCAGCGUCUAUUGCUGCCCUGAUUAUGAAUGUACAACCGAUUUAAAAAGAGAAGGUGUAAGAUUAUGCAAGCCUAUACCUGGAACAAAAAAAUAAAUGAAUUAUCGGAAGACAUAUCCAGUACAAAAUAAAAAUUUGUAUUAGA